AACGAACGCUGGCGGCAUGCCUAACACAUGCCAGUCGAACGAGACCUUCGGGUCUAGUGGCGCACGUGUGCGUAACGCGUGGGAACCUGCCCUUAGGUUCGGAAUAACUCCCCGAAAGGGGUGCUAAUACCGGAUAAUGUCUUCGGACCAAAGAUUUAUCGCCUUUGGAUGGGCCCGCGUUGGAUUAGCUAGUUGGUAGGGUAAAAGCCUACCAAGGCGACGAUCCAUAGCUGGUCUGAGAGGAUGAUCAGCCACACUGGGACUGAGACACGGCCCAGACUCCUACGGGAGGCAGCAGUGGGGAAUAUUGGACAAGGGGCGAAAGCCUGAUCCAGCAAUGCCGCGUGAGUGAUGAAGGCCUUAGGGUUGUAAAGCUCUUUUACCCGGGAUGAUAAUGACAGUACCGGGAGAAUAAGCUCCGGCUAACUCCGUG
rnacentral:rRNA from 1 species